GACGAACCGUGCGAACGUUGUUCGGAAUCACUGGGCUUAAAGGGCGCGUAGGCGGCUCGCGAGGUCGGGGGUGAAAUCCCACGGCUUAACCGUGGAAGUGCCUUCGAUACCGGCGGGCUCGAGGAAGGUAGGGGUGCGCGGAACUUCUGGUGGAGCGGUGAAAUGCGUUGAUAUCGGGAGGAACACCUGUGGCGAAAGCGGCUCACUGGACCACAACUGACGCUGAUGCACGAAAGCUAGGGGAGCAAACAGG
rnacentral:rRNA from 1 species